GCGGGUAUAGUCUAAUGGUAAAACUCCAGCUUCCCAAGCUGGCUACGCGGGUUCGAUUCCCGUUACCCGCUCCA
rnacentral:tRNA from 1 species